rnacentral:rRNA from 1 species
CUACGGGCUGCUGCAGUCGGGGAAAUUUUGCAAUGCGCGCAAGCGUGACAAAGCAAGCCAGAGUGUUUCUCUUAUUUAGAGAAACUUUUGUUAGCUGUAAAAAGGCUAACGAAUAAGGACUGGGCAAGACCGGUGCCAGCCGCCGCGGUAAUACCGGCGGUCCAAGUCGCAGCCAUAAUUAUUGGGUCUAAAACAUCCGUAGCUUGUUUUAUAAGUCUCUUGUGAAAUCUUAUGUCUCAAGCAUAAGGCGUGCAAGAGAUACUGUAAGACUAGAGACUGGAAGACGUAACGAGUACAAUCAAGGUAGUGGUAAAAUACGUUAAUCUUGAUUGGACUAACAAUGGCGAAGGCACGUUACGAGGACAGAUCUGACAGUGAGGGAUGAAGGCCAGGGGCGCAAAAUGGAUUAGAUACCCUAGUAGUC